rnacentral:rRNA from 1 species
UACGUAGGGUGCAAGCGUUAAUCGGAAUUACUGGGCGUAAAGCGUGCGCAGGCGGUUGUGCAAGACCGAUGUGAAAGCCCCGGGCUCAACCUGGGAAUUGCGAUGGAGACUGCAAGGCUUGAAUCUGGCAGAGGGGGGUAGAAUUCCACGUGUAGUAGUGAAAUGCGUAGAGAUGUGGAGGAACACCGAUGGCGAAGGCAGCCCCCUGGGUCAAGAUUGACGCUCAUGCACGAAAGCGUGGGGAGCAAACAGG